rnacentral:lncRNA from 1 species
AUUCCAAGCCCCAUCCUUUUGUGCAGGCAUCUCGCUGUCUGCGCUGGGCACGGAGCGGCGCGCGCGCGCCCGUCUUUCCCUCGGCGGCCCCCGCGGCUCGGACCCGGGCCGGCAGACAGGCCAUCCAUCAUCCGCCCUCCUCCCGCGGAGCGCCGCAGCCGCCGCGGCCAAUCCGGCGGCAGGUGGGGCCGCACCUGCGCGACAGCCCGCCGCUUCCCUCCGCUCCCUUCGCCGCGCCUCGCGUGCUAGCGGUGCCCUUGUGAGCCACUGCGUUCUCCAAGGCCAGAACGGGACAGUUGACGAUGGUCGUACUUCUCCAUGUUCUGAGACCAGUUUAAACAAAAACAAAAACCAGACAACAACCUUGCAAGGGAAAGAAUUCAGAGUAAAUAAACAGUCUUUUUCUGGGAAGUAAAAUAUUUCCCUAAGAUGGAGAAAUUGAGAUGAGAGCUCAUCCACAAGAUUACCCAUCAAUGAGCACCAAUAGCAACCAAAUCCACUAGAAGACUGGGAGCUUUUAAGUCAAGAAACUUACAUCAGUAUCAUCAUUCCAAGAAGCGGUAUCCAAGCUGUUUUAUCGAAAGUGCGCAUGGGAGGUAAGAGUUGGGAAAGAUAUCUGCAAACUAAAUCUGGGGGAUGCCUCUUCUUGAGGAGCUGGGGAAGAAUAACCAUGCUCAAGAAUGUUCCUCUUUUAACAGAAACCCCUUUCUGAGGCACAGACCCUGCAGGCUCUGAAGAAAUAGGAUAGAUUAUUUCAGCUCUCUCAGCUUGGGAAGUGUGUUUGGAAGAGCAUCUUCCUAGCUGCAAUAAUAAACAGCUCCAGCUGCAAGAGCUUUGCUAAACA